AACGAACGCUGGCGGCAUGCCUAACACAUGCAAGUCGAACGAACCCUUCGGGUUUAGUGGCGCACGGGUGAGUAACACGUGGGAACGUGCCCUUAGGUUCGGAAUAACUCAGGGAAAUUUGUGCUAAUACCGAAUGAGCCCUUCGGGCGAAAGAUUUAUCGCCUUUAGAGGGGCCCGCGUAUGAUUAGCUCGUUGGUUGAGGUAUUGGCUUACCAAGGCGACGAUCCGUAGCUGGUCUGAGAGGAUGAUCAGCCACACUGGGACUGAGACACGGCCCAGACUCCUACGGGAGGCAGCAGUGGGGAAUAUUGCACAAUGGGCGAAAGCCUGAUGCAGCCAUGCCGCGUGAAUGAUGAAGGUCUUAGGAUUGUAAAGUUCUUUCACCGGGGACGAUAAUGACGGUACCUGGAGAAGAAGCCCCGGCUAACUCCGUG
rnacentral:rRNA from 1 species